UAGGAAUCCUUGAAGUUUCUGCUGGAGUGGAUCAAACGGUUCCUACACUAUAAGCGGAGAGAAUUUACAUUUUAGGAGAGAGCUAUGGAGCUUGACAGGUAAUUUGUUGAUUCUCCGAUGCCGUUAUCUCUGAUCUCCGGUUGCUCAAAUCUGUCAGCCCAGCCCUGAUACAACUGAGUUGUAGUUCUCAGUGUCUCGCCUGCUCGCCCUGCUUCGUUGAGUUCUAGGGGAAAAAGAGGAGGAGAUCGAGAAGAUCAAAGAUAAUCUCAGAGAAGUUCUCAAGCACUCUGUGCUUUUAGAGCUCCGAACUUCAUAAGUAUCUUGAACUCUUUGAGUGACUUCUUGCUUUUAUGCGAAAUAGAAAUGUUACCAGAAACCUAAUUUUAAUAAUUGUGAUCCCGCCUAGACGAUUUUUUGGCUAAUCAAUGUAUUUGAGAUCCAAUGUAUUGAUCAUUCUUUAUAUUCAUUUGUGGUUGUUGGAUUAAUGUUAAUUUGUUUUCUAUUGUGCAACUUAACAAUGAUAAGAGCCCUUUUCAGAGAACAUUUGUGAUUCAGGUACCUUUUAAAUGCCUAGGUAGCUUUUUUGUUUUUGUGUAUGUACUUUAGAAGGCUUCUUUUAAGUAAUGCUCAAGCGGCUAAGCUUAUGAAAAGAUGCAAGAAGCAAGGAGCUGUCUACUUGGGGGGACUUUUCCUUUUAAGCUUAUUCUAGGCAUUGAUAGUUGAAAAUGAAUUCAAAUUUGUCAUCCCCACUUCUCUAAUUAUCAUUUGUGGCUAUGUGUUACAUAGUAUGUUUAUAUACCCUUGUUUUAUGAUUUACAAACCUCCUUUAUUAUAUUUACUUAUUUAUUUUCUAUUGCGAAGAAGGGAAGGAAUAAGAUAACAAGGUAUAGUGCUGAGAGGACCAUCCCAAAAUUUCAUUGGCUAGGCCUAUAGCAAAAAAAAAAAAAAAAAAAAAAAAAAAAAAAAAAAAAAAAAAAAAAAAAUUAACGAUUGCAAUGUGUAUUUGAUUAAGAAAUCUAAUCCUAGAGUAAAAAAGAACAUAUUUUAUUUCAAUUUUAUAUAAUAUAUUUGUGUAAAUAUCUUUUAGAAUAGGGAUUAUCCUCAUUUCAGUUUCCUAAAAUUUUCUUUAUUUGUCUGCUAUAUGCAUGCCUUGAGAGGCUGAGAUUCAUACCCUAUGACUGACUAACAUAGAUUUCAGGCUACUGUUCUUUCAAAUUUCUAAUAUAGACACAAAUGGUAUUUCAU